UGGCAGUGAAGAGAAAAUGAAAGGCCAGUCUUACAGCUGCUUCCCAGACACGAAUAGAUCCUCUCGUUAUUGUCCUGGGGUGGUAGUAGCAUGAUGUGAUAUGAUUCGGCGAAAGGUUUUCUCUGAGCCAU
rfam:Hordeum vulgare subsp. vulgare, WGS project CAJW01000000 data, contig: morex_contig_117772